ensembl:lncRNA
CCUGCUCCCGCUCUUCCCCCCUGGCACGCGAGGGCGUCGGGCUGCUCUGCAUUACCCACUCCUGCCACCAUCAUUGCACACACCUGCCUUCCCUCGUCACGCGCAUCAGCAAUUUAUUGGACUCACCUGGACUCAAUCACCUGUUUAUUAACUCCCUUAUAUUUGUCAAUUCCCCGGCUCUGUUCCCCCCUGCUGCAUUAAUUGACCGAAGUCUGUGUAUUACCCGGUUCUGACACUGUUCUUGUCUUGUUUUCGUGUCUGUUACAAUUAAAUGUUGACUCCCGUACCUGCUUCUCUUCUCCAGCAUCGGUCCUUACAGAAACAUACGGUUGACACCGGCAAUACUAGUAACGUUACUAGUAGUAAUGGAGAACAUCUUUCGGCAGGCUAGGGUGCGCGCAGGAGGCCUAUGGACAAGUUGACUAGCAGCAAGCUAACUCAAGCAACAGCCAAGUGGAUAGCUACAGCUUGGAGGCCUGUCUGCAUUUUGGAGGACGAAGGCUUGAGGGAUAUCAUUCGGAUAGCAUCGAAUUACUCAAAGUAUGAGUUAUGUUCACGUGUCACAGUCGUUACAAGAAUACACGAGCUGUAUGAAAGUGAGAAGGCUACGAAAGCGGAGGAAUUGAAACAUACAACUGGCUGUUGCUCUCACCAGAGACCACUGGACUUAGAACUUACAUCACCAUGCCAACCACAGCUGAAAUGGAGAAACUGCAGAAGCUGGAGGCACUUCUGGAGCCCUGCAGGCCUGAGGCUCUUGGACAGACUGAGGACACCCUGGCUUGACACCUGGAUGUGCCUGGCCCAAUCCUGGCCCCGCUCUACCUACUUCCUGACUGUUGCUGCCCCCACUGUUUCUUUCUCCCCCUCAAGUCACUGACUCCCCACACACCCAGAAAUUUAGAUUCUAUUACUUACCAUGACGUCUUUGUGAAAAGCCAUCUGUCGAUAGGGUCUUGAAGUGUUAGAACUUCCUCUAUAGUCAUUAUGGAUAUUGUCUGAGCUUGCUGGACAUUAAUAUUGGUAUUGCUUUUCCUUAUUGAAAUUGUGAAUAAAGGAAGACUGCUUUCAUUUUCACUUCAGGCACAAUGAAUACAUUGUUGGAUUGAAUGUAUGCAUUUAUACGGUCUGUAUCUCUGUACUACAGCAGUUCAAAUAAGGAUUUGUGCAAACUGGAAUUGUCUUCUUUCCCCAAUGAUUUCAUAAGGCUGAGGAAUUGUCAGUUAUCCCAUACUAAGGCUAGAUGAGGCUGAAUGACCACUAAUUCAUCUAAUUGGUACAUGACUGUUCAGUCUGAAUAUUCCAUCAAAAGGUGCAUUUUUGGGGGGCUAAAUUUAGGUUUUACUAAACCUUCAAAAGGGACACACAUACACAAUGAAGUUGAUCAAAUAAAGUAAUUGUCAGGAAAGGUAAUUUAUUACAUCAAGUAUAGUCACAGCCUCUCCCCUUCAUUUGCUUAACUGUGGGAAUGGGAUGGAGAAAUUGUUUACAAAAGGCAGGGUGGAUCCAAAGCUGUGUAGAUGGGUUACCUGAUAACAUCACAAAAACAAUACACACACUUCAAUGGGGCAGAAGUCUGUGAGUUGUGAUUCUGCAUGGCCAUAUAGCUACCAACAAUGGCAAUCCUAAGUGACUUGUUUCAGGUUGUUUCUUCUCGUUCUUGAUACCAUGUCUUGUUUUGAGGUGUUUUGACUGAUUUCAUGUCAAUGCUAAUAUGGCAGAAAUUCUCUAGCUAGCUAACCAACAACUGUAACGAUGUAUUUGAGAGACAAGUGCUC